UAUUUUCCGGGGGUGGGGAAUGACUACAAACCCUAACGCGAAAAAGCUUCGUACAGGUUUGGAAAGCAGGAGGUCUUGUGUGUCUCUGGUGUUAUAAAUGGCUUUUGCCAGAGAGAAGAGAGCAUAAUAAGCUAGAAGAAAUUCUCUCUUUCUACUGUGAUCAACGUUCACUCCAGAAACAUUUUUCUCUGUUACUGAGCAGAGACCUGAGACAAGGGGCUGUCAUACUGUGUGGAAUUGCCCAUCCAUCAUAGAGGAGAAAUGACCUGGGGAGAAAGAAGUGAUGGUGGUACCCUGGGCACUCCUUCCAAACUGCAGAUGUGCCCAGGACCCCAAAAAGUUUGUGAUCAGCGGGGACUCGCUGCUGUGGAAUUAUCCGCUGAGACUCCAAGAACAUCAGUAGGGUCUGCUGGAUCAAGCCAAUGGCCCAUUUAACCCAGCAUCCUGUUCUCAGAGUGGCCAGCCAUAUGUCUGUGGGAGCCAGCAAGCUGGAUUCAAGCACUUGUAACUCUGUCUGGUGCCAUGGAUAAAAGAGCAAUGGCAAAAGAGAUACAGGUGUCUAUGUUACCUAGUUAGGUAAAGGAUAUUGUGUGAGUUCAUUUGUUAAUUGUGUCUCUUUGAUGAACAGAAAGUAAUUACUGGAAUAACAAGUUGAGUUGCACAGUCCUGUUACCUGAUUGUAUUAUAUGAGCUGAAGUGUGAA